UCUCUUUCAGCAAAACAUCUUACCAGUCAGGUCACACACAGGCCAUGCUGAGGUUGCCUGUCUUCUGUUUCAGCUCUUCCAUGUUGCACAGCAUAUUUCUGGAAGAGAAGGAGGAAGAGAGUCUGAAAUGUUUAUUCUAGCAUAAUAGAUCAGAAUAGCAAUAAGGAAGUGCAAACCUCUUCCUAACAAAAUUUUGGAGACCAGGGAAGCACAUGAUAACAGCAAAGGGAUAUUUAUACAAAGAUUAGUGAAGUUAAUUAAGGAACUGAAACUGAGGAUCUUUAGCCCUCUCAUUUCCCUUCCUUCUCAGUCUUUCUGUUACACAGCUGAAGGAUUUGGACCUUUCCCUUCCUUCAUGGACUACUGCUGCUAAAUUAUUUGUAGAAAAAGUGCUUGCUUAUACAGCCAUUCAGGAGUUUUUGACUGCUCGUCAGAGAAAACCAAGAUUUCCAAGUCCUACCCAUCAUUCCUUGAUAUCUGAAGUGCAUCAGACCUCUUUUCAACUAAAGUAUAAUCUUUUCCUUAUCCUUUUCCAAAUGAGCUUUUUAUUGUUUGAGACCACAAUGUACCCAUGGAUGAAUGCAAGAUUUGAAACAUUUCAAUUAUCUCUGUUUCAAUUAUCUCUGUUAUCUGUAUUCAUACAGUACUUAUGCCAGCUUACCUGCCUCUGAAGAGAAAUGCUUUGAAUUCUUUUGCAGAACGGGAAAGAUAAGGCUAGUGAUAUUUUUGUUGUGAUACAGCACUGAGUGUGUUAUCUCUGUGCUUCAGAAGAUCUUAACAUUUACUACCUUUUUUGAACCUAUGACACCUACCGGAUCCCUAGGAAUAUCAGGAGAGGGUUUUAACCACUGUCACAAGUAAAGGCUUAGUAGCCUUUUAUAACACAAAGGUUUCAUUGUGUAUUUUCUCAUCUAUAAUGAUUUCUGCCUCACAUUAAAAAUAUUGCACUCUUUUCUGAAGAAAUAUGAGUUCCCGUUGUCCUCAGCAUCACUUACUUAGGAGAAGGCAGUUAUACAUAGCUACUGAAUUAGUUGCAUAUUCCUUCUUGUAUUCGGUCUGCCCACAUAAAACAGUAUCAACUAAUUUGACUGGAAGUCUUCUUUGAAAUAACAUGGAUUUUAAGUUUGAAUUGUAUAGAUCUAGUGACUGAAAAAGUAGAAAAUGGACUUUGUGGUCUGAUUUGUGCAACACGACCAUAUGAUGUCCCAAGUGAAUUUAGUAUCGAACUAGAUCACAUAAAAUAAUUUGGAAAAAAACUCUACAUUUUUUUCAAAAUUAAUUUAAAAUGUUCAGUGAUGAAGAAGUUAUUGGACCCUUUCCUCAACUGAUCACAGUAGUGGUUAAAGGCAUAUAGGUUAUUUCUAAACUCUGUUUGCCCAGUGUUAGCCUGUAGUCGUCGUUAUAGCUUUGCUUGCUAAAUGGAAGAGGCCUAUGUUACUGACUUUUCAUGAUCAAAUAUUAACGUUCUUUGUAAUAAACUAAAUAGAAUUGGUUUUGAUUUCCCCGUC
rnacentral:lncRNA from 1 species